ensembl:snRNA U6 U6 spliceosomal RNA
UUGCUUUGGCAGCACAUAAACUAAAAUUACAGAGAUUAGCAAGGUCCUUGCACAAGGAUGACAUGCAAAUCUGCGAAGCGUUCCAUAUAUUU